GAGUGAUGGCCAUGGCAUGGAAGAAGGUGAGACUUGCAUGAAUCGUGAAUCAAAACCUCCAUGAUUAUCACUGCAAGUCGUACCUUUUUCCUAGCCAUGAUAAUCACUG
rfam:Arabidopsis thaliana chromosome 4, complete sequence.